GGAGGCGUUUCGUCACCGGUGUGGCGCCCAGUCUUCAAAACUGGCGGCAGGUCGAGAGGUCUGCGGUAGGUUCGACCCCUAUGCGUCUCCGCCA
rnacentral:tRNA from 1 species